CUCCCCCCCCGCGGUUUUCUCGCAUAGCGGGGAAAAGAAACCAACCGGGGAUUCCUCAGUAACGGCGAGUGAAGCGGCAACAGCUCAAAUUUGAAAUCUGGCCUCUUUGGGGUCCGAGUUGUAAUUUGUAGAGGAUGUUUCGGGUACCGCCUCCGGUCUAAAUUUCUUGGAACAGAAUGUCAAAGAGGGUGAGAAUCCCGUCUUGGACCGGCGGUAGGGCCCAUGUGAAACUCCUUCGACGAGUCGAGUUGUUUGGGAAUGCAGCUCAAAAUGGGUGGUAAAUUUCAUCUAAAGCUAAAUAUUGGCCAGAGACCGAUAGCGCACAAGUAGAGUGAUCGAAAGAUGAAAAGCACUUUGAAAAGAGAGUUAAACAGUAUGUGAAAUUGUUGAAAGGGAAGCGCUUGCAACCAGACUUGAGCGCGGCGGUUCCCCCUUCCUUUUGGUUGGGUUACUCCGCCGUGUCCAGGCCAACAUCGGUUCUGGGGGUCGGUUAAAGGCUCGAGGAAUGUAUCUACUCCUUCGGGGGUAGACUUAUAGCCUCGGGUGUCAUGCGACCUCCCGGGACCGAGGAACGCGCUUCGGCUCGGAUGUUGGCGUAAUGGUUGUCAGCGACCCGUCUUGAAACACGGACCAAGGAGUCUAACAUCUAUGCGAGUGUUUGGGUGUCAAACCCGGAACGCGGAAUGAAAGUGAACGGAGGUAGGAAGCCGCAAGGCUGCACUAUCGACCGAUCCUGAUGUCUUCGGAUGGAUUUGAGUAAGAGCAUAGCUGUUGGGACCCGAAAGAUGGUGAACUAUGCCUGAAUAGGGUGAAGCCUAGAGGAAACUCUUGGUGGCAGGCCUCCGCCCAGCCGUGGUU
rnacentral:rRNA from 1 species